rnacentral:rRNA from 1 species
AUUGAACGCUGGCGGCAGGCCUAACACAUGCAAGUCGAGCGGAUGAAGGGAGCUUGCUCCUGGAUUCAGCGGCGGACGGGUGAGUAAUGCCUAGGAAUCUGCCUGGUAGUGGGGGAUAACGUCCGGAAACGGGCGCUAAUACCGCAUACGUCCUGAGGGAGAAAGUGGGGGAUCUUCGGACCUCACGCUAUCAGAUGAGCCUAGGUCGGAUUAGCUAGUUGGUGGAGUAAAGGCCUACCAAGGCGACGAUCCGUAACUGGUCUGAGAGGAUGAUCAGUCACACUGGAACUGGGACACGGUCCAGACUCCUACGGGAGGCAGCAGUGGGGAAUAUUGGACAAUGGGCGAAAGCCUGAUCCAGCCAUGCCGCGUGUGUGAAGAAGGUCUUCGGAUUGUAAAGCACUUUAAGUUGGGAGGAAGGGCAGUAAGUUAAUACCUUGCUGUUUUGACGUUACCAACAGAAUAAGCACCGGCUAACUUCGUG